rnacentral:tRNA from 1 species
GGGACGGUGGCACGGGUGCUUCAGCCGUUCCGGGUGGCCGGGGCCCGGGCUCCGGGGUCGGCCGUCCGCC